UACGUAGGGUGCAAGCGUUAUCGGAAUUACUGGGCGUAAAGCGUGCGCAGGCGGUUGUGUAAGUCUGUCGUGAAAUCCCCGGGCUCAACCUGGGAAUUGCGAUGGAGACUGCACGGCUAGAGUGUGUCAGAGGGGGGUAGAAUUCCACGUGUAGCAGUGAAAUGCGUAGAGAUGUGGAGGAAUACCGAUGGCGAAGGCAGCCCCCUGGGAUAACACUGACGCUCAUGCACGAAAGCGUGGGGAGCAAACAGG
rnacentral:rRNA from 1 species